ensembl:misc_RNA Metazoa_SRP Metazoan signal recognition particle RNA
GCAAGCAUGGUGACCCAUGCCUGUAAUUCCUGUUACUGGGGAAGCAGAGGCUGGUGGAUCAUUUGACCUUGGGAGUUCCGAACUGCAUUGGGGUAGGCCAAUCAAGCAUCUGCACUAAGUUCCACACCAAUAUGGUGAGCCCUCAAGAGUUGGGGAGGCCAAGCUACCAUGUUGCCUAAACUGGAGCAAACUGACCCAGGUUGGAAACAGAGAAGGUCAAAGUCCUGGUGCUGAUUAGCAGUGGGAUUGGGCUGUGAGUGGCCAAUCCACUAGGGCAGCUAAGUGACAAAGUGAAUAAAACACUAGACCU